UACGAAGGGGGCUAGCGUUGCUCGGAAUUACUGGGCGUAAAGCGCACGUAGGCGGCUCUUUAAGUCGGGGGUGAAAUCCUGGAGCUCAACUCCAGAACUGCCUUCGAUACUGAAGAGCUCGAGUCCGGGAGAGGUGAGUGGAACUGCGAGUGUAGAGGUGAAAUUCGUAGAUAUUGGGUGGAACACCAGUGGCGAAGGCGCCUGCCUGGCUGACAACUGACGCUGAGACUCGAAAGCAUGGGGAGCAAACAGG
rnacentral:rRNA from 1 species